UUUUCAAAAUAUUAAAUUUCAGCUGGAAAAUUUUGCUUCAAAGCAAACUGGUACUACCACUUAGAGGACUUUCACCCAAGCUUGCGAGAGAACUCAUUUAUUUUCAUGCAACAAUACCAAAUCAGUUCUGGGCUUUAAGUGUUCUGGAGAGCGUUCAGAUCGUUUCAAAAAUCACAAAAAAACUCCUGUCAUUUUAAUGCCUUUAAAACGACGACAUGGAUCCACAAAAUCUACUCAUCGUCAUCAUCAUCAUUAUCAUCAUCUAGCUAUAAGCAAAUGUCGCUCCGGACAAAAAAAAACAAAGUAUAGUGUGAAUGUCUGCACAUACUUUGUCAAUUUAACGAGAUUUAAUCUUGAUUAUUAUCUUGAUGACUGCCCAGCAAAUGGUAUAGAGUUUUAAUAUCAAUGUAAAGGAUGUGUUCAAUGUGUUCAAAAAAAAUUGUACUUCGUAUUCGAAGUGUAUGGAGUUAGCAAGGCAUGUCAAAGAGGUGCAUAUGCUGAAAGGAACCGAUCGCAUCAUAUCGCCUAGUAAAUGAAAAACUAUAUAAUAUCUAUAAGACAAACGACAUCGCCUCCAAUAAAUAAUGACUCUUGCAGUUCAUAUUAUUGUCGGUAUCAUAGUAUCAUCUAGUAGCUGAUGUUUGAAGAAACAUAAGUAGACAAAUGUUCAACUAUUAAAGUUAUAUUUAUCCUGAAAGAAUAAACAGUAGCAACAAAAAAAGGAACUAAUCAAUAAAUCGAAUGGUAUCAUGUUAACUCAACAUUAGAACAAUUUAAUUAUAAUCAUAAUUUUUUUUCAU